rnacentral:rRNA from 1 species
UACGUAGGGGGCAAGCGUUGUCCGGAUUCAUUGGGCGUAAAGAGCGCGCAGGCGGUCGUUCAAGUCGCGUGUGAAAGCCCCCGGCUCAACUGGGGAGGGUCACGCGAUACUGAUCGACUCGAAGGCAGGAGAGGGUAGUGGAAUUCCCGGUGUAGUGGUGAAAUGCGUAGAUAUCGGGAGGAACACCAGUGGCGAAGGCGACUACCUGGCCUGUUCUUGACGCUGAGGCGCGAAAGCUAGGGGAGCAAACGGG